rfam:Schistosoma rodhaini strain Burundi genome assembly, scaffold: SROB_scaffold0003031
AUCCAGUUGGCGAGUUCAAAAUAGGAUGAAACGUGCGUCCUGGAU